UAAAAAUUCAAAUUUAACACCUAAAAUUAAAUAAAAUUUUUUUUAAAAAGAUUUAUAAUAUUAUAAAACUAGAAUUAUACAACAAGAAUAUUACACAAGAAACUAAUUUAAAAAAACAAAAAAUUGAUACAUAAAGACAUCAUUAUUACACAAAUCUAAACUAUUAAAACUGAAGUACAAAUAAAUCUUAAUCCUUAUUUUUCCACAAAUAUUACAUACCUAUGCCACCACCUUAUAAAUAUCAACUUCCAUAAAAAUUGUUAAGAAAUUGCCUAAUAUUUAACUACCUAAUAAAUUUAGAAGAUAUGCAAUCAUUCAUUUAUUUAAAAAAUAAAAAAUUUAAUUUUGCAAUCUAUAAAAAACUAUAAAAUAGUCAGAUUAAUUUAUUGGUUUAUUAAAAAUUAAAUUGAUCAACAUGGUUUAAAUUUUUCAGAAUAAUAAAACUAACUCAGUUAUAUUUAAUUAAUUAGCAUCUUCUAAUUUAAUUAGUACAAUAAUGUAUGUAUUUAAUUUUUAAACGUUUACAAAAAUUAAAAAUAAAUACCCGUGCGGAGGCACGGGUUAAGAUUUAGUUUAAAUAUUAUAACAACACUAAUAGUCUAGUAAAUUUGCUCAGGAACCAGAAAUCUCAAAGUGAAGAAGGCGAUAAAGAACAACAAGAGGUGAGUCUUUUUCGGUGAUUGUGAGAAAAACCGCAUACCAGAAAGGUAAACAAAAUACAUAAAUGUUGACGACUCAAUGUCAAAAUAUGGGAAGAAGGCAAAAAAUAUCUUAAAAGUUAUAAUAUAAAAAAUAUGAAAAAUAAAGAUAAUUUUGAUGCUGAAACCGUUAAUCUUAGAAUCAACAAAUGCAUAAAUGCAAAGUUAUUGAAAUUCAAUAUAUUUUUACAUUAGAGACCCACUUCACUACUAACAAGUACUGUACACACAAAACACAUUAUUGAAAAAACAAAAACAAAAUAUAUUAACAUAUCACUACUACAUAACAUAAUAAAAACACCGAAUAAUAUUUUUAACGAAUAUAAGUGACCACAUAAUUACACCCCCCCCCCCCCCCCCCCCUAGUUGUAUAUAAUCACUUGUACAUUGACAUUUUACUUAAUAUAAACUAUUCAAUACAUUCCAAAUUCUCUCAACUUCGUCUUCCUCACAAGAGCUUUAUUUCUGUUCAGUCUCAAAUUACUAAAAUGUAUACUACAUCUAACUUAAUUUAUAUCCAAAACUGAUUCUGAACCGAAGGUUCGAUUCAAACCAAACGAUCCACAGAAUACAUUGUAAGGAUUCUAUUUUCUAUAUUUCAAAAGGAAAAUGUAAUCAAGAACCGAACAGAAAUGGAAGUAGUCCCAUCAAAUAAUUAUGAUAGUAGUACUAAUUUCUUGAAGAUAUAUUUCCUUUUACUCAACCAAAAAAUUCACAAAACAAAGUUUAGUUUAAGGAAAGAGUACUGAUAACACGAAAAUAGAAACUGCCCUGUUACCGUAAAAAAAAAACUGCUAAAUCAGAAACUAUCUAUUUCCAUGAAUUAUCACAUGGAUCGAUUAGUGAAAUGCAACAACUUGUAUCUGUAUUAUUUAGGUGAAAGCUUUAAAUGUUGUAAUGCUACAUUAAAUGUUGUAAAUUGCGGGUGUUUAUUAAUUUCUUUUAAAUUUAUAGUACAGCUACUAAUUUUGUAUGAGGGGACCCAGAGCCGUACAUUAAUGCUUAUACACCAAGAAGUCUGAGUUUCAAUUUCCGGAGAAGACGAAAUUAUGCGAAUUAAAGGAGAAAAGGCUUACAAGAGAUCUGCAGCAUGGCGCAAGGAGUACCGUCAAGCAUAGAUCCCAUAGGACGGCUCAGGUGAUGCAGUCAGGCGUGAAUCCUCAUACGACAGGUAGAAUUAUCGGCUGUAAAAUCGUCGGUUGUAGAAUCGUCUGUAAAAUUUCUCAUAGUUGUAAUAACAUAAUUAUCCAGCAUAAAAAAAUAAUAUCUACUUCUUACUAAAUAACUUUUAAACAAAUCUUUUGAUUAAAAAUUACUAAAAGGUUUAGGUACGUUGAGAACCUUGGUGAUUAUGAAACUAUUUGAGGUGUAGAACUGCACAGACGCGUCAGAAGUUUAGCUAUGGAUGGAGACCUUCGAAUGAUGAGAUUUAGCUGCUAUUUUCCCAUACGAUAGAGAUUUAAGUUAUCUUUCCAAUGCCAUCGGUUUAAGGUCCAUCUAACGGUUAGAUCUAAAGUUAUGCUCGAUUUACUGAAGAGUGGUAUGUCUGCCUCGUGAGAAGAAGUUGUCGAAGAUAUGAAGGAAUGCCGAUCGACGACACAGACUUUGUGUCGAUCGACACUGAUGUCAGAAGACGGGAAUAACAUAUUUUUUUACCGACUUGGGCCCAGAUGUCACCAGAUAUUACUAGAAUACCCCUAAACGAACUAAAAUCUUAUUUAUGUGUUUUCUAAUCCAUUGUUGACAGUUACACACUCUACACGCUUUCUAAGCUUUAUUAUAUUAUUUGUUCUUAGUCUUAGGUUAGGAGAGAAAAGAUGAACUCCUUCAAAAUCAUCCUGAAACUCCUUUAGUUUUAUUAUUGAUUUCUAUUUAUUCUAUUUAUCUAUUCAUUUUACGAUUUUCCAUGACAACUAUCAUGUUUAAGUAGAUCACCUGCAAGGUUUAGGGAUUAAUUAGGGUAUUGAUGGAUUAGCCAAAAUUGUAGAACUAGUAGGGUGAAUUCAUAAUAUAUCCUUCAUUAGAAUUAUUAUUAAUUCUUGUGUCUAGAGUAGCUAAGUAGAACCCUGAACUUAGGAUUGUGGACAACUACAAUAGUAGGUUCUGCAUUAAAAUAGAUUCUCUUGAGCUAGAAUUGCUAGAAACAUGUGGCAGCUGAUUUAGUAGGACUAGUGAAUCCAAUCGAUCUGUUCGAUAACGCUUGCCUAAGGAAGCAUCGAUCGACGCUAACUCAAUAGCAUCGAUCAAUGCUCGAUUCGUGUUAACAAAUGUCAGCUGAGACAUUGGACUUAGUCAAUAAAUUAGACUCACGGCGACAGCCGGUCAUCUUUUUCAUUAGAAAUCGAGUUAUAGGAUCAAUCUUUAGCAUCUAUAUAUUGAGUUAUGAUAACCUGAAUGAAACCCUAAGUCUAACAACCCCUAUUCAAUCAACAAAAAAACUCAUCUAUUUACUCUCCUGUUAUUUAUUGCUUUAUAUAUUAUUUGACCUAGCUUGAUCUGAAACUCAAGUCUAUUGUGUGAGAUAUCGAGUCUUUGUGGAUACGAUCCUUAAGUACUGCAAUCGAUCUCUUAUUUGAGAGAGUUGCUCUUGGGGUAAUUUGAGCACAUCAAUGAGCCAACCUUAGAUGAACCUGAUGAUGAGCCUGAGUGGAUGUAACUACCAAGUGACUAUGAAGAAGAUGAUAUGGAACAGACCCAAAAUAAAGUUGUGUCUCUCUCAGUCCAAAAGAAGUCUAGUGACCAGAAAGAAGAUCCAUUUGCAAUAUCUGUUGGACCCAUUACGAGAUUAAAGUCCCAUAAAUUGAUUGAGAAGAUUGCUUGCCUUGUUCACAGCCAGGAAAGUGAAGAAGAGCAAUUUGUCCAAACCACCAUCAAUGCCAACCACUUUCAUUUACCUAGUUGUCUCCUACAACAGCUAGUUUAAAUAUGUCUUUUUUCUGAGUUUGUGUUUUCUAUGUUUAUCAUGCAACCUAUCUACUUGUUUUUUUGUCUUUUCUUUCUAUUAAGAGUAUGUGUAAACUCAUUCUAAAUUUUAAUCAUCAUUUUUAUCUUAAACAAAUUCCUUCUUUGGUGAUUCAAUUGUUCUCUGAACAACCUGAUUGUGAGGUGUGUGAACCCAAAACAAUCAACAAACUCUCUAGUUGACUGGUAUGUCAAAUCCAGAGAACCUGAAAGAGGUUAACCUGAGGCCAUUAUGAAACCUCAAAAAAUCCAAUGAAUCCUUCCACCCAUUCAACCAUCAAAUCGGAGGAAGCUAGUUAGCUGGCCGAUCAUCUAUCAAUCUUAAUCAACCAUUAAAACAUCAAUCAACAUGUCUCUGUUAGGUCCAACAAAACCAGAGUAUAAAUUCUUGGGAAGAAGUCAUUACGUGGUAUCAGAGCAACCACUCUGUUGAUCAACCAGUUAUGAGUUCAAUUUCAAUCUCUAAUCUAUCAGUCUGCAGCUUUCUGGGAUUUCAAGUUCUGUUCUUUGGGAAUUUCGAAAUUCAUCUCUUAUUUCUACAUUUUUCUAUUCUUAUCAAUAUCUUUUAUGUCUAUUUGUUUGCAAGUGAGCCAAAUCUGAUUUGAAAAGAAAGAAAAAUCAUAAUAUCCCUAGGAGAAAUCAAGUUUAGCCUAGGAGAAAUCAGACUAAAGUUUGGUAAAAUCACUUGCUCAUCCAAAAUCUUGCAAUCUAUCUAUCUUUUUUUUUCUCUUUGGAGCUUUGAGUUUCUGUACUUUCACUUGAUUGAGUUGGUUACAAAAUUUUGAGUCACCUUCACCAUAAAAUUUCGAGAGAACAAAAGGAAAUCGUGAGAGAGAGAAAGAGAGAGUUAUGUGAUUUACUAAAGUUUGUUGAUUUUUGCAGGAACCAUGCUAGCUGAAAUUACCAAGCAUGUUCAGGAUAAUCUAAAAAGAAGAGAAGAUGAAGCUAAUGAUUUAUUCUAUGGUACUAGACGGCCUAGAAACAUAGCUACUGAUCGACCUACAAGAAGAACCAAAAGAGAAACCAGAGCGGAUGAUUCAGAUGAUGCUUAUUCAUCUUCGGGAAAGAGUGAUGUUAGAUCAAGAAGGAACUAUAACCCACAAACAAAAAAGAUAACAACCUGGGUAACAUCAAGCUGAGAAUCCCACAUUUCCUUGGUCAUAAUGACCCUAAUGCUUACAUGGAAUGGGAAAGGAAGAUGGAGUUAGUUUUUGAGUGCCAAAACUACACUGAAGAGAAGAAAGUGAAGUUUGAUGCAACUGAGUUUAGUGAAUACACAUUCAACUGGUGGGAACAAAUUAUGCAUAAGCGAAGACAUAGUGGAAUUGCACUAGUUACUUCAUAGUAUGAGAUGAAGACCCUCAUGAAAACUAGGUUUGUUCCAAGUCACUAUGGCAGAGAUCUUCACAAGACCCUCAGAAGGGUGACACAGAGAACUAAGAGUGUUGAAGACUAUUUUCAGGAGAUGGAAACUCUCAUGAUUAAGGUUUUCAGCGAGGCUUGAACAGAGAUGUUCAGGACCGUCUAGAGAUACAAGAAUUCAACAACAUGGAGGAGAUCACUUUAGUCCCACUAUAACCUCAUGAAAUUCACCUUGACCAUGUCCAACUGAAAAGAAAAGGAGAGGCCGACAAGGACCAUAAGGUAGGGAACUCCAAUUUCUUUAUAAAAAAUGUUGAGGUGAAGAGAAACAUGAAUGCUCAACAGACUAUGAUUUUGUUUGUUUACAAGAGAACACUAACCUCAUCUUCUGACAUUGCACAUGCUAUUCUGAGUGAGUUUGAUUUCAUUUUGCAAGAGUAUAGUGAUGUCUUUGCAGACGAAAAUGUGCAAGGUCUGCCUCCAAUCCGUGGCAUAGCACAUCAGAUUGACUUUGUUCCAGAAGCUUCUUUGCCAAACAGACCACCCUAUCGUUCCAACCCUAUAGAAACCUUGGAGCUUCAAAGACAAGUUACUGAACUUAUGGAGAAAGGACACAUAAGAUAGAGUAUCGGUCCUUAUGAUGUUCAUGUACUACUUGUUCUGAAGAAGGAUGGAACAUGGAGAAUAGACUAUCGAGCCAUCAAUAAUAUCACGGUAAAGAACAUACAUCUCGUGUCUCGUCUUGAUGAAAUGCUAGAUGAACUUCAUGAAUCCUGCUAUUUUUCUAAAACUGAUUUGAAAAAUGUGUAUCAUCAGAUUAGAAUGAAAGAGGGAGAUGAAUGAAAAACUGUUUUUAAAACAAAACAUGACUUGUAUGAAUGGCUUGUGAUGCCUUUUGGUCUAACAAACGCCCCUAGCACUUUCAUGAGACUAAUGAAUCAUGUUCUGAGGUCUUACAUAGGGUUGUUUGUCAUGGUUUAGUUUGAUGACAUCUUAAUUUACAGUAAAAACUUGUCUGAUCAUGUUGAACAUUUGAGAAAGGUUUUAGAUGUCCCAAGGAAAGAAGUCUUGUUUGCUAACUCUAAAAUUGCUCUUUUGGAACAUAUAACCUUGUUUUUUUAGGUUUUGUUGUGACUUCUCAGGGCAUACAUGUGGAUGAAAAGAAAGUGAAUCUCAUAAAAGACUAGCUAACUCCUAAAACCAUGGGAGUAGUAAGAAGCUUUCAUGGUUUAGCUAGAUUCUACAGGAGAUUUGUGAAAGAUUUUAGCACCAUUGCUGCACUUCUCACAUAAGUGAUCAAGAAAAAUAUAGGAUUCACUUGGGGUUCAGCUCAAGAAGAAGCCUUCAAUCUGCUAAAAGGAAAGUUGACUAAUGCACCACUUCUUAUGCUUCCUGGUUUUGUGAAAACUUUAGAAAUAGAGUAUGAUGCUUCAGGUGUAGGUAUUGGAGCAGUUCUAAUGCAGGAAAAGAAACCCAUUGCUUAUUUCAGUGAGAAGCUUGUAGGUGGAACUCUGAACUAUCCAACAUUUGACAAAGAGCUCCAUGCUCUGAUCUGUGCACCCCAAACUUAGCAACACUAUCUCUGGGUCAAAGAAUUUGUAAUUCAUACCGAUCAUGAAUCCUUGAAAUACCCGAAGGGUCAACAAAAGCUCAAAAAUAUACAUGCCAAAUGGGUGGAGUUUCUGGAAAUAUUCCCUUAUGUCAUUCAGUAAAAACAAGGUAAGGAGAAUGUGGUUCUAAUGCCCUUUCUCGUAGAUACACUCUUCUCUAUAUUUUGGAAACUCAACUUCUUAGUUUUGAACAGAUUAAGUCAUACUAGGAAACUGAUCCUGAUUUUAAAGAAAUAUAUUUUAAUUAUGAUAAAUUUGCUGUAGAGAAACAUUUCAAGAAUGAUACAUUUUUGUUAUAUGAAUCAAGACUGUGUGUUCCUAACUGUUCUAUGAGAGAUUUAUUUGUUAGAGAAGCACAUGAAGGAGGAUUGAUGCAUCACUUUAGCAUUGACAAAACUUUGAAGAGUUUGCAAAAGCACUUCUACUGGUCGAGAAUGAGAAAAGAUGUGGAAAAUUUGUGUAAUGAGUGUGCUACUUGCAAUUAAGCCAAGACCACAAACUAAACCAAAAGUUAAGGAAAAUAAUGAAGAAAUGACAAGGCAGUAUGAGGAGUAUGUCAGCAAAGGAAGGCGUGAACUGAUCUUUAACUCUGGAGAUUUGGUGUGGAUGUAUCUCAGGAAGGACAUUUCCAAUUGAAAGACAGUCUAAACUGAUGAAAAGAAGAGAUGGCCCCUUCAACAUCCUUGAGCGAAUCAACAACAAUGCAUACAAGAUUGAUCUUCAAGGUAAGUAUUCAGUGAAUUCAUCUUUCAAUGUGUCUGACUUGGCUCCUCUUCAUGAAGAUCACUUGGAUUUGAGGACAAAUCCUUUCAAAGGAGAAGAGGACGAUGCAAUCAAGGAGGAGACAACCUUAGGAACCUCAUGAUGAGUCUAAGUGGAUGCAACUACCAAGUGAUUAUGGAGAAGAUGAUAUGGAUCAUACCCAAAAUUAAGAUGUUUCUCUCUCAGCCCAAAAGAAUUCUAAUGACCAGAAAAAAGACCAUUUUCAAUAUUUGUUGGGUCCAUUACGAGAUCAAAGUCCAAGAAAUUAACUGAGAAGAUUGCUUUCCUUGUCCAGAACCAGUAAAGUGAAAAAGAGAUAUUUGGCCAAACCACCAUUACGCCAACCACCUUUAUUUACUCAGAUGGGUCCUAUAAUAGCUAAUUUAAUUAUGUCUUUUUUUGAGUUUGUGUUUUCUAUGUUUGUCAUGCAACAUAUCUACUUGUUUUCUUGUCUUUUAUUCUAUUAAGAAUCUGCAUAAAUUCAUUCUCAAUUUUAAUCAUCAUUUUUUAUCUUAAUCUCAUUUCAUUUCUGGUAAUUGAAUUGUUCUCUAAAUAAAUUGAUUGUGAGGUUUGUGAACCCAAAAAAAUCAACAAACUCUCUAGUUGACUAUUGUGUCAAAUCCAGAACCUGAGAGAGGUUAACCUAAGGCCAUUCCGCAACCUCAGAGAAUCCAAUCAACCCUUCAACCCACUCAACUGUCAAAUCGAAGGAAGCCAGUUAGCUGGCCGAUCAUCUAUAAACCCUAAUCAACUAUCAUACCAUCAAUAAACCUAGCCUAGUUUGAUCCGACAAAAAUCAGAGUGAAAAUUAUUGGGAAGAAGUCGUUAAUAAUCUAGUUUUAAGAACACCUAACAAGCAUAAACCAAUGCUAAUCAGGCAAAAAACAUCCUAAAUAUCUACCAAUCACCCUAAUCCACUUAAUCCAUGAACCACAAGGUGACAACUCACUAAUCUCCAUGAGAAGUCUUAAACACAUGUAGGGUUUAAGGCUAAUCAUGUUAAUGAGUAAGAUAAACAUAAUACAAGAUGAUAUACUUCAUUAAAUGAUAAAAAAGUUCAAGCUUUUCUAAGAUUAAACAAAGUCUUGAGAGAAAAUGAGAUAGAUCUAGGGUUUUUCCUAAAAUAGUAUAUAUAGGUUACUAAAAUUAGCUGGGUCAACCCAAUUAGCAUGGAUUGACACAAGAUAAUUUGGAUAAAAAUUGGUAAAAACAUAGUUGCAACUUUUUUUAAGUGUCGCAGUUGGCUUUUGAAAUGUACACAAGCCGCUGCAGACUGCCGCUGCAGAAGGCGGCUGUGAGCAUCCGGCUGGCUUUUGAUAUGUAUGGAGGCCGCUGCAAAGAGCCGCUGUGAGCAUCCAGCUGGCUAGGGAACAUGUACACAUGCCGCUGGAAAAGACCGUUGUGGUUCUUGGCACGGCUUGCGGAUGACUUUUGCUUGCAUCGGUUACACGACACUGCUGCGUCUUCCCGAUUCAGAAUCCACAUAUUUUCAUUUUCUUGAAGUUCAUGCCACUCUGACAUUUAGGCUCCAGUUCGUUUCAUGACCAAAGUCACUCUUUUUGCCUUAAAUCAGCUUUAUAUGCUCCAAAUUCACCAAGUUGGAAUUUUACGAUCUAAUAGGGACAUAUGCAUGGAAAUUCAAUCUAAUGUUGUCUAAAUGCUAAUCUAAAUGAUCAAUAUGCAUACUAAAUGGAUGACUAAAUCAAUAAAAACAAAAGAUAUCAAUAACCACCAAGUAUUCGUUUGAAAAGUGUAAAGGACCCUCUGAGCAUAGUCGGGGUGGAGCUACGGAAAUUUGAAACAAACAGUGGUUUUAAUUUGAAAAACUUUUUUUUUGUCACAAUGGAUUGAAAUUCAUUCAAGGGUUGGUAUACAAAGACUAAUACAUAAGCUGAAUGAACAAGGAAAUAUCAUCAGCAGUUAAAUC